rnacentral:rRNA from 1 species
AGCGAACGCUGGCGGCAGGCCUAACACAUGCAAGUCGAACGGAUCCUUCGGGAUUAGUGGCGGACGGGUGAGUAACACGUGGGAACGUGCCUUUUGGUUCGGAACAACUCAGGGAAACUUGAGCUAAUACCGGAUGUGCCCUUCGGGGGAAAGAUUUAUCGCCAUUAGAGCGGCCCGCGUCUGAUUAGCUAGUUGGUGAGGUAAAGGCUCACCAAGGCGACGAUCAGUAGCUGGUCUGAGAGGAUGAUCAGCCACACUGGGACUGAGACACGGCCCAGACUCCUACGGGAGGCAGCAGUGGGGAAUCUUGCGCAAUGGGCGAAAGCCUGACGCAGCCAUGCCGCGUGAAUGAUGAAGGUCUUAGGAUUGUAAAAUUCUUUCACCGGGGACGAUAAUGACGGUACCCGGAGAAGAAGCUCCGGCUAACUUCGUGCCAGCCGCCGCCGUAA